GAACUAGGGGAGUGAAAAAGAACAUGAAACCGUGAGCUUACAAGCAGUGGG
rnacentral:rRNA from 1 species